AGCUCCAAUAGCGUAUAUUAAAGUUGUUGCAGUUAAAAAGCUCGUAGUUGGAGGUCCGGGGCGGACCGCGCCGCAAGCGCGCGCGGGCCCCCCGCUCGCGAAGAGGCCUCGGCCCAUUGAGUUGGGCCCUGGCGGAGUCGCGUCCUUUACUGUGAACAAAUUAGGGUGUUCCAAGCAGGCCGGAGGCGUUUCGCCGAUUCUCGUCUGGAUACAUUAGCAUGGGAUAAUGAGAGACAACCCCCGCGGCCUGUUGCUGGCCGGUCCGCCGUGGCCGCGGGAGUGAUGGUUAACAGGAACGGCUGUGGGUAUUCGUAUGACCAUGUCAGAGGUGAAAUUCUUGGAUUCUGGUCAGACGAACGACUGCGAAAGCAUUUACCAAGGAUGUUUUCA
rnacentral:rRNA from 1 species